rnacentral:tRNA from 1 species
GGGGCUGUGGCUCAGGGGUAGAGCGCUUACCUAGCAUGUGUGAGGCCCUGGGUUCAAUCCUCAGCACCA